rnacentral:rRNA from 1 species
GCAGCAGUGGGGAAUAUUGGACAAUGGGGGGAACCCUGAUCCAGCCAUGCCGCGUGUGUGAAGAAGGCCUUUUGGUUGUAAAGCACUUUAAGCGAGGAGGAGGCUACCUAGAUUAAUACUUUAGGAUAGUGGACGUUACUCGCAGAAUAAGCACCGGCUAACUCUGUGCCAGCAGCCGCGGUAAUACAGAGGGUGCGAGCGUUAAUCGGAUUUACUGGGCGUAAAGCGUGCGUAGGCGGCCAAUUAAGUCAAAUGUGAAAUCCCCGAGCUUAACUUGGGAAUUGCAUUCGAUACUGGUUGGCUAGAGUAUGGGAGAGGAUGGUAGAAUUCCAGGUGUAGCGGUGAAAUGCGUAGAGAUCUGGAGGAAUACCGAUGGCGAAGGCAGCCAUCUGGCCUAAUACUGACGCUGAGGUACGAAAGCAUGGGGAGCAAACAGGAUUA